rnacentral:rRNA from 1 species
GUGGGGAAUCUUGCGCAAUGGGAGAAAGCCUGACGCAGCCAUGCCGCGUGAAUGAUGAAGGUCUUAGGAUUGUAAAAUUCUUUCACCGGGGACGAUAAUGACGGUACCCGGAGAAGAAGCUCCGGCUAACUUCGUGCCAGCAGCCGCGGUAAUACGAAGGGGGCUAGCGUUGCUCGGAAUUACUGGGCGUAAAGGGCGCGUAGGCGGACAGCUUAGUCAGAGGUGAAAGCCCAGGGCUCAACCUUGGAAUUGCCUUUGAUACUGGCUGUCUUGAGUUUGGGAGAGGUGAGUGGAACUCCGAGUGUAGAGGUGAAAUUCGUAGAUAUUCGGAAGAACACCAGUGGCGAAGGCGACUCACUGGCCCAAUACUGACGCUGAGGCGCGAAAGCGUGGGGAGCAAACAGGAUUAGAUACCCCAGUAGUCC